CGCAAAUUCCACUAUUGUGGCUAAUCCUUUAUGUGGCUAGCUUCACAGCACAUAACCCGGUCCGGUCAAACCAUAGUAUAGUAGUCAGAUGAAGCAAGUGGAGAGCAGCAUAUAAAAGAAGCAAGGCGAGGAAAGGAGCACUGAAGAACUUGACCACUCCUCCACAAAGUCCAGAUCAUGUUCCAGAGCAGUCCCCACAGCCAGGAUCUUCAAGUUUCAGUCAGAAGGUCCUGGCUGCUCCAGAACAGCCAGCCAAUGAGGAAAAUCCACAAGCUGUGGGGGAAAUCCAGGUCUUCUGGGGCAGUGGUGUGUAGUGGAAUAUGAUAACCUUUAUCCAGGCAUCAUCCUCGGCACGGAUGAAAUGAGUGUACAAGUGAAAUGUAUGCAUCGUGUAGGACCAAACAGAUUUUUCUGGCCUUCUCGAGACGACAUCCACUGGUAUCAGUUUGAUGAAGUCCUUGAGCUGAUUCCACACACACACAGCGUGUGACAUCCCACCACGUGGAGGUUGAGAAAGAUAUGUGGGCCAGACUCUCAGGAAGAAACCCAUGAAUGAAUGAAUGAAUACGGUGCUCCUGAGAAGGAUAGUCAUGCUGACACUAGCGCUGUAGCUACAGCUGUUUUAGCAUUCUAAAUGCCCUUGGAAAAUGUUGAACUUUCCUGAUGAAACCUGUUGAAUGUUAUUAAUUACCCUAAUGCCUAAUGGGUUUUUAUUUGUUUUGAUAUUUACUGUAGUUUGGUUAAUAAAACCCAGAUUAUUCUAAAUAUAUCUAAUGUUCUUAUUACAUGGUCGCAUACAAUCAAACGCAAUGUUUUGGGGUAAAUCUUGGAGGUAUUAUGAUAGUAAACUAAACUUGUUUAUAUCGAAACCGAUGUCUCUUCAACCCUGUUACAGUAUUCAUUCCUGUCACCCUAGUCUCAACCCCGUCACAUGACAAUAUUUGUUAAAUAAAAUGGGCAAAGAUGAAUAAAUAUGAAUAAUGUUUUCUGUCUGAAAUGUUAAGGACAAUCCCAAGAAGAUUAGAUUUAUGUUACAAUUCUGAAUUGAAAGCAUUUUUAAAUUUAAAUGAUGAGCUCGCUGACACAUAAUGAGUCUAUUUCAGGGUUUAGCCUAGC
rnacentral:lncRNA from 1 species